rnacentral:rRNA from 1 species
UACGUAGGGCGCAAGCGUUGUCCGGAAUUAUUGGGCGUAAAGCGCGUGUAGGCGGCUCGAUAAGUCCGGUGUGAAACCUUGGGGCUCAACCCCAAGCCUGCACUGGAUACUGCCGAGCUAGAGUCCGGGAGGGGAGACUGGAAUUCCUGGUGUAGCGGUGAAAUGCGCAGAUAUCAGGAGGAACACCGGUGGCGAAGGCGGUUCUCUGGGCAUUACCUGACGCUGAGGAGCGAAAGCAUGGGGGAGCGAACAGG